GUGCUCACUGCGGCAGCCCAUAUACUAAAAUUGGGACAAUACAGAGAAGAUUGGCAUGGCCCCUGUGCAAGGAUGACAUGCAAAUUCACGAAGCAUUCCAUAUCAAA
ensembl:snRNA U6 U6 spliceosomal RNA